ACCUAGGCUUUUUUUAAAGCCGCCAAUUACUUUUAAAACAAUAAAAU
rfam:Sarcophilus harrisii ctg7180001904350, whole genome shotgun sequence.